GGCUUGAUAGCUCAGUGUAAGAACAUUGCACCGGCGUCGCAAGGUCCUGGGUUCGAAGUCCCGUUCAAGCCU
rnacentral:tRNA from 1 species